rnacentral:lncRNA from 1 species
CUGCUCCUGUUCACCGUUCCAAAAUCCCUUCCAUACCGAUUCCCUUUUUCUCGUUUCUUUCAUUCCUUUUCCUGUUUUGUUUGGAUCCAUUUAUCUUUUCCAUUCUGACAGUUCUCACAAGCUUUUCUUCUUACGCGCCCCGAGUGUUACUUUUCGAUUUCCUUUUUGAUAUCCUUUUCAAUUUCCUUUUCGAUUUCCUUUGUCUCCUUUUUGAUAUAUAUGGAUGGGUUUGGGUUUCGUUUUCAUUCAUUCGCUUUCUCUCUCUCUCNN